rnacentral:rRNA from 1 species
GAUCUGGCUCAGGAUGAACGCUGGCGGCGUGCUUAACACAUGCAAGUCGAGCGAAGCACUUUACUUAGAUUUCUUCGGGAUGAAGAGUGUUGUGACUGAGCGGCGGACGGGUGAAGGUAACGCGUGGGUAACCUGCCUCAUACAGGGGGAUAACAGUUAGAAAUGACUGCUAAUACCGCAUAAGACCACAGCACCGCAUAGUGCAGAGGUAAAAACUCCGGUGGUAUGAGAUGGACCCG